rnacentral:lncRNA from 1 species
UGUUUUAUACACUCUAAAUGGAACAUGUGGGAGCAUUCAAGUUUUCUUAUGGCUCUCUUUUUCUCUCCAAAUUUCUCCAAGCAAAUGCAACAAGACUGCAUAGUUCACCACUAAAAUAGUCAAAACAAAAAUAAAGCAAAAUAUGAUAUGAUAAUGAUGAUACUCACAUCAUCAUUAAUCUGUCCCUGAAAUUCAAAUCCACCUUCUUGACCUUCCCCU